rnacentral:rRNA from 1 species
GCAUAUCAAUAAGCGGAGGAAAAGAAACCAACCGGGAUUGCCUCAGUAACGGCGAGUGAAGCGGCAAGAGCUCAAAUUUGAAAUCUGGCCCCUCCGGGGUCCGAGUUGUAAUUUGCAGAGGAUGCUUCGGGUGCGGCCCCUGUCUAAGUGCCCUGGAACGGGCCGUCAGAGAGGGUGAGAAUCCCGUCUUGGGCAGGGUGCCCGUGCCCGUGUGAAGCUCCUUCGACGAGUCGAGUUGUUUGGGAAUGCAGCUCAAAAUGGGUGGUAAAUUUCAUCUAAAGCUAAAUACCGGCCGGAGACCGAUAGCGCACAAGUAGAGUGAUCGAAAGAUGAAAAGCACUUUGAAAAGAGAGUUAAACAGCACGUGAAAUUGUUGAAAGGGAAGCGCUUGCAACCAGACUCGGCCUCGGGGUUCAGCCAGCAUUCGUGCUGGUGUACUUCCCCGGGGCCGGGCCAGCGUCGGUUUGGGCGGCCGGUCAAAGGCCCCAGGAAUGUAUCGUCCUCCGGGACGUCUUAUAGCCUGGGGUGCAAUGCGGCCAGCCUGGACCGAGGAACGCGCUUCGGCACGGACGCUGGCGUAAUGGUCGCAAACGACCCGUCUUGAAACACGGACCAAGGAGUCUAACAUCUACGCGAGUGUUCGGGUGUCAAACCCGUACGCGCAGUGAAAGCGAACGGAGGUGGGAGCCCCCCCGGGGCGCACCAUCGACCGAUCCUGAUGUCUUCGGAUGGAUUUGAGUACGAGCGUAGCUGUGGGGACCCGAAAGAUGGUGAACUAUGCCUGAAUAGGGUGAAGCCAGAGGAAACUCUGGUGGAGGCUCGCAGCGGUUCUGACGUGCAAAUCGAUCGUCAAAUUUGGGUAUAGGGGCGAAAGACUAAUCGAACCAUCUAGUAGCUGGUUCCUGC